UUUAUGGAGAGUUUGAUCCUGGCUCAGAGUGAACGCUGGCGGCGUGCCUAAUACAUGCAAGUCGAACGAUGAAGCUUCUAGCUUGCUAGAAUGCUGAUUAGUGGCGCACGGGUGAGUAACGCAUAGGUCAUGUGCCUCUUAGUUUGGGAUAGCCAUUGGAAACGAUGAUUAAUACCAGAUACUCCCUACGGGGGAAAGAUUUAUCGCUAAGAGAUCAGCCUAUGUCCUAUCAGCUUGUUGGUAAGGUAAUGGCUUACCAAGGCUAUGACGGGUAUCCGGCCUGAGAGGGUGAACGGACACACUGGAACUGAGACACGGUCCAGACUCCUACGGGAGGCAGCAGUAGGGAAUAUUGCUCAAUGGGGGAAACCCUGAAGCAGCAACGCCGCGUGGAGGAUGAAGGUUUUAGGAUUGUAAACUCCUUUUGUUAGAGAAGAUAAUGACGGUAUCUAACGAAUAAGCACCGGCUAACUCCGUGCCAGCAGCCGCGGUAAUACGGAGGGUGCAAGCGUUACUCGGAAUCACUGGGCGUAAAGAGCGCGUAGGCGGGAUAGUCAGUCAGGUGUGAAAUCCUAUGGCUUAACCAUAGAACUGCAUUUGAAACUACUAUUCUAGAGUGUGGGAGAGGUAGGUGGAAUUCUUGGUGUAGGGGUAAAAUCCGUAGAGAUCAAGAGGAAUACUCAUUGCGAAGGCGACCUGCUGGAACAUUACUGACGCUGAUUGCGCGAAAGCGUGGGGAGCAAACAGGAUUAGAUACCCUGGUAGUCCACGCCCUAAACGAUGGAUGCUAGUUGUUGGAGGGCUUAGUCUCUCCAGUAAUGCAGCUAACGCAUUAAGCAUCCCGCCUGGGGAGUACGGUCGCAAGAUUAAAACUCAAAGGAAUAGACGGGGACCCGCACAAGCGGUGGAGCAUGUGGUUUAAUUCGAAGAUACACGAAGAACCUUACCUAGGCUUGACAUUGAGAGAAUCCGCUAGAAAUAGUGGAGUGUCUGGCUUGCUAGACCUUGAAAACAGGUGCUGCACGGCUGUCGUCAGCUCGUGUCGUGAGAUGUUGGGUUAAGUCCCGCAACGAGCGCAACCCCCUUUCUUAGUUGCUAACAGGUUAUGCUGAGAACUCUAAGGAUACUGCCUCCGUAAGGAGGAGGAAGGUGGGGACGACGUCAAGUCAUCAUGGCCCUUACGCCUAGGGCUACACACGUGCUACAAUGGGGUGUACAAAGAGAAGCAAUACUGCGAAGUGGAGCCAAUCUUCAAAACACCUCUCAGUUCGGAUUGUAGGCUGCAACUCGCCUGCAUGAAGCUGGAAUCGCUAGUAAUCGCAAAUCAGCCAUGUUGCGGUGAAUACGUUCCCGGGUCUUGUACUCACCGCCCGUCACACCAUGGGAGUUGUGUUUGCCUUAAGUCAGGAUGCUAAAUUGGCUACUGCCCACGGCACACACAGCGACUGGGGUGAAGUCGUAACAAGGUAACCGUAGGUGAACCUGCGGUUGGAUCACCUCCUUUCUAGA
rnacentral:rRNA from 1 species